rnacentral:miRNA from 1 species
UAACUAAAUAGUGACACGUGGCAU